rnacentral:rRNA from 1 species
AGCUCCAAUAGCGUAUAUUAAAGUUGUUGCAGUUAAAAAGCUCGUAGUCGAAUUUCGGAUGCAUUCCUUUGGUCGGUCUCUAUGGCUUGUACUAAAGGUAAUGCAUCUUACCUUCUCGGGAUCUAGUGUGCUCUUCACUGAGUGUGCUAGCCAUCGAGGACUUUUACUUUGAGAAAAUUAGAGUGUUCAAAGCAGGCAUUUGCUUGAAUACGUUAGCAUGGAAUAAUAGAAUAGGACUUUGGUUCUAUUUUGUUGGUUUGGGAACCAAAGUAAUGAUUAAUAGGGAUAGUUGGGGGCAUUAGUAUUCAAUAGUCAGAGGUGAAAUUCUUGGAUUUAUUGAAGACUAACUACUGCGAAAGCAUUUGCCAAGGAUGUUUUCAUUGAUCAAGAACGAAAGUAG